rnacentral:lncRNA from 1 species
UCAGCAAUAAACAAGUGACAAGUAACUCCUUUCUUCCCUGAUGUGCCCUCCCUCAAUAGCUAUUGGGAUAGAAAAGUUUUAAGAAAAUUGCAUGAGAAAGAAACCAAACAAAAACACUUGAAUAACAACCAUUAUAACCUUGAAUAGCCACACAUCACCACAAUUGCCAUCGGUAUAAUGAAAAAAAUUGAAACACUUGAAAAUCAUCUAGUGAUAUUAAACUGGAAAAUUGCAUAUUUUUCAAUUCAAGGUGACUGCUUUAUGAAAAGAAAGAUGCAGAAAGGUAAGAAAGG